rnacentral:rRNA from 1 species
GACGAACACUGGCGGCGUGCUUAACACAUGCAAGUCGAACGUGAUUUUUGUGGAAAGCCCUUCGGGGACGGAAAUGAAAUGAAAGUGGCGAACGGGUGAGUAACACGUGAGCAACCUACCUUACACAGGGGGGUAGCCGUUGGAAACAACGAUAUAUACCCCAUGAGACCACAAAGCCACAUGGGUUUGGGGGAAAAGAUUUUUCGGUGUAAGAUGGGCUCUCGUCCGAUUAGCUAGUUGGGAGGGGAAAGGCCUACCCAGGCAACGAUCAGUAGCCCGGCUGAGAGAAUGAACGGCCACAUUGGAACUGAGACACGGUCCCAACUCCUACGGGAGGCAGCAGUGGGGGAUAUUGGACAAUGGGCCCAGAGUCUGAUCCAGCAAUUCUGUGUGCACGAUGACGUUUUUCGGAAUGUGAAGUGCUUUUUGUUGGGAAGAAAAAAAUGACGGUACCCACAGAAAGAAGCCCCCGGUAACUUCGUGUCAGCAGCCGCGGGAAUACGAAGGGGGUAGCGCUUUUUUCGAAUUACUGGGGGGAAGCGCACAUAGGCGCGAUAUUUUAGUCUCGGGGGUGAAAUCGGGGGGCUCACCCCGCGGAACUGCUUUUGAUUGUGGAUAUCUGAGAGUUCGAAAAGGAGUGGGGAUUCGCGUGUGUAGGGGUGAUUUUUGGAUAUAUUCAGAGGCACCACUGUGGAAAGGGGGUUUACUUCUGCGAUUCUCACUGUGGGGGCGAAAAAGCGUGGAGAGCACACGAUUAUAGAUACUUGGGGGCCCAGGGGAAAUCUCCACUUUGGGGUGCACCCGGGGGAAUCUAUAUUUCAGAGGGGCCCCCCGGGGGGUCCAAUUCCCCAUAUGUGAGGUAUUACCGCGCUCUCUCGCGCGUUUUUCACAACGCCUGACUGGAAAACCUUGCAUUACCAACUUAUCGCUUGCAGACAUCCCCUUUCGCAGUGAGUAUUACGAAGACGCCUCACCGAUAUAAUUGGUCAGGAAAUAUCAGAAGGAUCU